GACGAACGCUGGCGGCGUGCUUAACACAUGCAAGUCGAACGAAGAGCGACGGAAGCUUGCUUCUAUCAAUCUUAGUGGCGAACGGGUGAGUAACGCGUAAUCAACCUGCCCUUCAGAGGGGGACAACAGUUGGAAACGACUGCUAAUACCGCAUACGAUCUAAUCUCGGCAUCGAGGAUGGAUGAAAGGUGGCCUCUACAUGUAAGCUAUCACUGAAGGAGGGGAUUGCGUCUGAUUAGCUAGUUGGAGGGGUAACGGCCCACCAAGGCGAUGAUCAGUAGCCGGUCUGAGAGGAUGAACGGCCACAUUGGGACUGAGACACGGCCCAGACUCCUACGGGAGGCAGCAGUGGGGAAUCUUCCGCAAUGGACGAAAGUCUGACGGAGCAACGCCGCGUGAGUGAUGACGGCCUUCGGGUUGUAAAGCU
rnacentral:rRNA from 1 species